CGCGUAGGCGGUUUACACAGUCAGAUGUGAAAUUCCAGGGCUUAACCUUGGGGCUGCAUUUGAUACGUGUAGACUAGAGUGUGAGAGAGGGUUGUGGAAUUCCCAGUGUAGAGGUGAAAUUCGUAGAUAUUGGGAAGAACACCGGUGGCGAAGGCGGCAACCUGGCUCAUUACUGACGCUGAUGGACGAAAGCGUGGGUAGCGAACAGGAUUAGAUACCCUGGUA
rnacentral:rRNA from 1 species